rnacentral:rRNA from 1 species
GACGAACGCUGGCGGCGUGCUUUACACAUGCAAGUCGAACGGUGAAGGUGGAGCUUGCUCCGCCGGAUCAGUGGCGAACGGGUGAGUAACACGUGGGCAACCUGCCCCUAACUUUGGGAUAACUACUCGCAAGAGUAGCUAAUACCGGAUAUGAAGUCUGUAGGCAUCUACGGACUUGGAAAGUUUUUCGGUUAGGGAUGGGACCGCGGCCUAUCAGCUUGUUGGUGCGGUAGUGGCUCACAGAGGCGACGACGGGUAGCCGGCCUGAGAGGGCGACCGGCCACACUGGGACUGAGACACGGCCCAGACUCCUACGAGAGGCAGCAGUGGGGAAUAUUGCGCAAUGGGCGAAAGCCUGACGCAGCAACGCCGCGUGCGGGAUGAAGGCCUUCGGGUUGUAAACCGCUUUCAGCAGGGAAGAAGCGAAAGUGACGGUACCUGCAGAAGAAGCACCGGCUAACUACGUGCCAGCCGCCGCAGUAA